rnacentral:misc_RNA from 1 species
GAUGAAGAACGCAGCGAAAUGCGAUACUUGGUGUGAAUUGCAGAAUCCCGUGAACCAUCGAGUCUUUGAACGCAAGUUGCGCCCGAAGCCACUAGGCCGAGGGCACGCCUGCCUGGGCGUCACACGCCGUUGCCCCCCCAUCUACUCCUUCGGGAUUGCGGGGGGGCGGAUGAUGGCCUCCCGUGCGCCUAGCCGCGCGGUUGGCAUAAAUACCAAGUCCUCGGCGACGCACGCCACGACAAUCGGUGGUUGCGAAACCUCGGUUGCCCGUCGUGUGCGUUCGUCGCGCAUCGAGGGCUCGAAAAAAUGCUCGGCUCCGGCUGGGCUUUCAACGCGACCCCAGGUCAGGCGGGGUUACCCGCUGAAUUUAAGCAUAUCAAUAAGGGAGGA